GCCUCUUCUGAGGCCGCUAUGUAUAAGUACAAGUCCUCUCCCUUUUUGGGUGAUGUCAGCAUUGGGAGUUAGGAAAUGUGCGCCUUUAACUUCGCAAAUGCCUCCUCGCAUUCUGGUGUCCAAGUGAUACUACCCUUAGCCGCAGUUUUUAGUAAUUGGAAGAACGGUUUGCACUUUUCAACCGUUUGUGAUAUAAAAC
rnacentral:lncRNA from 1 species